GGAAAAAAACUUGUUUGAGGUACACACUUCGUGACCAUGGGGGAUGGGUUCGAAAUAAAAAACAAAAAUCCA